AUGUCCGUGCCCAGGAUCCGAACCAGCGAAACCCUGGGCGUCUGCAUCAGAGCGCACGAACUUAACUACUCAGCCGCAGGGCCGGCCCCUCAUUCCACAAUGUUUAAUGAGUACCUACUAAGUGCCAGGCACUGUGCUGGGUGUCAGGAAUACAGCAGGAAACAAGACACACUGCCUGCUUUCAUUGAGUCUAGAAGGGGAAGGUGUCUAGAAGAUGACAAGCAGCGGCAGACUCAGCACAUCCCUGGCUGUUCUGAGGCCACCGGCGUGGAUCCCACAGGUUGCUGGAAGUCUUCCUGGAACCCAAGGGAGGAAAGAACCAGCCCUGCAAAGUGCCUGGAGCUUCCCGAAACCUGGGACCUGAGCCUUGCCUUCUGUGACUUCCCUGAGGGUCUCCUCUCUAUCUUCAAGGCCACAGAGACCACACUUGCCCCUCAGGGCCCAGAACAGCCCACCAGAGCCUGGGCUUGGGUGGGGGUGGGGGGUCUCUGCAACUGUCGCCUCCAGCCCUUGCCAUCCUUGCGGAUGAAGAAGUGA
rnacentral:lncRNA from 1 species